CGUCGUUCUCCUCCGGCACCGCCUUGAAAAGCUCCUUCGGCUGCAACACCUUGUCGACUUCGUACACUAUCAGCGGCUCCGAAUCGAUCAGCGUCGCUGUCACCGUCGCCGUCACAACCUUCGUUUUCACCGUAACGUCCUCGCCAUCGGUCUUGAUGACGAAAUCGUAUUUGGCGCCACCGUCUGUCGCCAGCGUGUUGACGACGCCGUUGUUCGAUUUGAG
rnacentral:misc_RNA from 1 species